rnacentral:rRNA from 1 species
CAGUAGCCGCGGUAAUACGUAGGGUGCGAGCGUUAAUCGGAACUACUGGGCGUAAAGCGUGCGCAGGCGGUUGUGUAAGACAGGUGUGAAAUCCCCGGGCUUAACCUGGGAACUGCGCUUGUGACUGCACAGCUAGAGUAUGGCAGAGGGGGGUGGAAUUCCACGUGCAGCAGUGAAAUGCGUAGAGAUGUGGAGGAACACCGAUGGCGAAGGCAGCCCCCUGGGCCAAUACUGACGCUCAUGCACGAAAGCGUGGGGAGCAAACAGGAUUAGAUACCCCUGUAGUCCCUGUCUCUUAUAC